rnacentral:lncRNA from 1 species
CCUAGGACUUACGCGCAUCGCAACAUCAUCAAUCCAGCAAUCCACCUCUUAAGCAGAACAGAAGAAGAAAGGAACAACACGAUUCAUUCAGGAAGCCGUAAACCUGCCAUAGUAUUUAGCGUCCAGCUGCAAAGGCCUGCGGUUCCCGAUACUGCCUAAAGCCACUAAAGCCACGGCCCAACAUAUUCGCAAAACCUGCCAUGUCAACACAGUAAUCAACCUGCCUGCAAAAGUGCGCGCAAGACCAUAAACCCUUGUAGAAACGAAACUCAUGCAAUUGCAACCGGCUGCGCAAAAUCAUUCAUUUAUUCGUUUCCCUGAUCGUCGAUAUGCCCGGAAAAGGGCUUGGUGGUCAAUCAGUCAUUUCAUCGCACUACCCAGCGGCAUGGCGCAGUCUGAAGCGAAGCGCGACUUAAUCACAUCGAAAACGAGCGAGCAAAACGAGCAAACCGACAAUAAAACCACAAACAAUAAUGAAGGAAAGCCGAAAAAACAAAGGCCGUCAUUCUACGAGCGAUGCUUAUUGUCCUGUAUCACGUAGUCGGUCGCACCAGGGUAGGCAAUCGGCAAACGUAACGGGCACUUGGCCUGCUGCAGAUGCCGCUCGUAACGCUUACUAGACGAAGGUGGCUGGGCAGCACUUGUUGUCACCAGAGUAUAUGUUCACCUGCAUGUAUGUAUGCAUGUAUGUAAUGUGGCGUCAGGCCCAAACAAGACGGGGGCCCCGGACUUGCAUGUGUGCAUGUGACGAGCUCCAAGUACGUGCCACGGCAUUUGUAGACUGCAAUGAGCACAUGCUUUAUCGAUG